AGGUAUUCCAACAACCUCAAACUACUUUUGAUGUUUUGGAAGUUAUCUAAGUUCCUGUGCUGCCCACAGUAUCUCAGCCAUGCUACAUAUAUGGAGCUUUAGGGAAAAAAAAAAAUCUCAUUGAGUCAUCUUCCAUCACAAAGUGAUUUGGUGCAUGUGUCUCAUGCCAGUAGCAACUCUCAUGUCUGCGUGAAAGCCUCAAGGUCAAGGUUUAGGUUUUUCCUCCUGUCAUAGAGAAGAGACAGCAACCAGUUGGGAAAGGAGGAUCCAAUUCUUCCCAUGCUUUUUUAAAAGUGUCUAUUCUGACUACAGCUGUUAGUCAUUUUUUUGACAAUACGUGCACUUCCAGAAAGAACUGAUUGUCAAGAUCAACAAAUU
rnacentral:lncRNA from 1 species